rnacentral:lncRNA from 1 species
AAGUACUUGGUGAGGAGUUUCUGAGCCAAAUUAUCCCAAGUUGUAAUUGAGCCAUACGGUAGUGAUUGGAACCAAGCCUUUGCUUUAUCCCUUAAAGAGAAUGAGAAUAGGCGGAGUCUAAUUGCAUCUUCAGUAACCCCAUUCAUCUUCAUCGUGUCACAAAUUUCCAAAAAGGAUCUAAGAUGAGCAUUUGGGUCUUCU